UACAGAGGGGGCAAGCGUUGUUCGGAAUUACUGGGCGUAAAGCGCGCGCAGGCGGCUAUCCAAGUCAGUGGUGAAAGCCCGGAGCUCAACUCCGGAACUGCCAUUGAAACUGUUUAGCUUGAGGACGAGAGAGGUGAGUGGAAUUCCCAGUGUAGAGGUGAAAUUCGUAGAUAUUGGGAAGAACACCGGUGGCGAAGGCGGCUCACUGGCUCGUAUCUGACGCUCAGGCGCGAUAGCGUGGGGAUCAAACAGG
rnacentral:rRNA from 1 species